AACGCACGCACUUCUCGCUACAGUCGCUUUCGUCUGCGGCGGCUACCGCCGAGCGCGCUCGAGUUAUUGAUUGUUUCCUUCGACAGUGACAGCAAGCAAAUUACAACGGGCGCGCUCCCGUCAAGCGGGAGCAACACACUUGGUCUCAGCCCCCCCGCCACUGCUUCCCCCCAUUGUCCAUACGGAACAGUACACGAUCACGAUGCUAUGACCCCCUGGCGAUGCUAAGACACCCUGGCGCUGAUUCGACGUCUUCAAGCGCCACCAUACAGCAAGUGCACCGCCGCUGUUUCGUGCCAUUCCAGCUGUUCACGUGGUGGCGGUGCCUCUUUUUGGACAAGGUCUUUGCUUACGUCAUAAUACGGAAAGGGGGGUGCGGCAUUGGACCAACAGCACCAGCACUAAUAAAAUAUAACGAGCACUCUUUAAAA
rnacentral:lncRNA from 1 species